UCUGUGCGCAGCAUCUUCAAA
rnacentral:piRNA from 1 species